rnacentral:rRNA from 1 species
GCGCAGCUACACAUGCAGUCGAGCGGAUGACGGGAGCUUGCUCCUUGAUUCAGCGGCGGACGGGUGAGUAAUGCCUAGGAAUCUGCCUGGUAGUGGGGGACAACGUUUCGAAAGGAACGCUAAUACCGCAUACGUCCUACGGGAGAAAGCAGGGGACCUUCGGGCCUUGCGCUAUCAGAUGAGCCUAGGUCGGAUUAGCUAGUUGGUGAGGUAAUGGCUCACCAAGGCGACGAUCCGUAACUGGUCUGAGAGGAUGAUCAGUCACACUGGAACUGAGACACGGUCCAGACUCCUACGGGAGGCAGCAGUGGGGAAUAUUGGACAAUGGGCGAAAGCCUGAUCCAGCCAUGCCGCGUGUGUGAAGAAGGUCUUCGGAUUGUAAAGCACUUUAAGUUGGGAGGAAGGGCAGUAAGUUAAUACCUUGCUGUUUUGACGUUACCGACAGAAUAAGCACCGGCUAACUCUGUGCCAGCAGCCGCGGUAAUACAGAGGGUGCAAGCGUUAAUCGGAAUUACUGGGCGUAAAGCGCGCGUAGGUGGUUCGUUAAGUUGGAUGUGAAAGCCCCGGGCUCAACCUGGGAACUGCAUCCAAAACUGGCGA